CGGACGGGUGAGUAAUGUAUGGGGAUCUGCCUGAUGGCGGGGGAUAACUACUGGAAACGGUAGCUAAUACCGCAUAAUGUCUACGGACCAAAGCGGGGGACCUUCGGGCCUCUUGCCAUCGGAUGUGCCCAGAUGGGAUUAGCUAGUAGGUGGGGUAACGGCUCACCUAGGCGACGAUCCCUAGCUGGUCUGAGAGGAUGACCAGCCACACUGGAACUGAGACACGGUCCAG
rnacentral:rRNA from 1 species